rnacentral:rRNA from 1 species
AAAAGAAACCAACAGGGAUUGCCCUAGUAACGGCGAGUGAAGCGGCAACAGCUCAAAUUUGAAAUCUGGCUCUUUCAGGGUCCGAGUUGUAAUUUGUAGAGGGUGCUUUGGAGUUGACUGUGGUCUAAGUUCCUUGGAACAGGACGUCGCAGAGGGUGAGAAUCCCGUAUGUGGCCGCCAGUCUUCGCCGUGUAAAGCCCCUUCGACGAGUCGAGUUGUUUGGGAAUGCAGCUCUAAAUGGGAGGUAAAUUUCUUCUAAAGCUAAAUAUUGGCCAGAGACCGAUAGCGCACAAGUAGAGUGAUCGAAAGAUGAAAAGCACUUUGGAAAGAGAGUCAAAAAGCACGUGAAAUUGUUGAAAGGGAAGCGCUUGCAGCCAGACUUGCCUGUAGUUGCUCAUCCGGGCUUUUGCCCGGUGCACUCUUCUAUAGGCAGGCCAGCAUCAGUCCUGGCGGUCGGAUAAAUGCCCGCUGAAUGUACCUCUCCUCGGGGAGGACUUAUAGCAGUGGGCGGCAUACGACCAGCCGGGAUUGAGGUCCGCGCAUCUGCUAGGAUGCUGGCGUAAUGGCUGUAAGCGGCCCGUCUUGAAACACGGACCAAGGAGUCUAACAUCUAUGCGAGUGUUUGGGUGUCAAGCCCGAGCGCGUAAUGAAAGUGAACGGAGGUGGGAACCCCUCGGGGUGCACCAUCGACCGAUCCUGAUGUCUUCGGAUGGAUUUGAGUAAGAGCAUAGCUGUUGGGACCCGAAAGAUGGUGAACUAUGCCUGAAUAGGGUGAAGCCAGAGGAAACUCUGGUGGAGGCUCGCAGCGGUUCUGACGUGCAAAUCGAUCGUCAAAUUUGGGCAUAGGGGCGAAAGACUAAUCGAACUAUCUAG